CCUGCCGUCCUGGCCAACACAAUCGAGCAAGGCAGUGAAGCAAAAAUCAUUAGGUGGCUGGACUCAGACACAUCAUGCUCCAGUUUGGGUUGCAAGGUGCUUCUCUCUGGGUUUUCACCUGCCUUGCCAAAAAUGAUUGAUUACACUGGGCCAACUGGGUGUCCGGCAAUACCCAACAAAUGACUUUGGCCCCUAACAGCAGGCCUUGGCCAGAUAGAAAUCAAUAUUUCACCAUUAAAAUCUAUCAAAGAAGAGUUAAGGCACCAUCUGUCCCUGCCGCCUCUCUAUGGUGUGUGAACAUUAAAUCCGACACUUGUACUACAUGGGUAAUCAAUAUAUAGUGGUUCACAGAUCAUUUGUGGUCCCCCUUUUAGCAGUGAUGGAUGUCUGGAAUCGUUGUGAUUCAUUUUGUCAGACCAUUAAACAAGAUUCUGUCCAGUUCCUUCCUGAUUUCA